rnacentral:rRNA from 1 species
UAGGGAAUAUUGGUCAAUGGGUGCGAGCCUGAACCAGCCAUGCCGCGUGCAGGAAGACGGCCUUCUGGGUUGUAAACUGCUUUUGCCAGGGGAUAAAAAGCUCAUGCGUGAGCAAUUGAAGGUACCUGGUGAAUAAGCACCGGCUAACUACGUGCCAGCAGCCGCGGUAAUACGUAGGGUGCAAGCGUUGUCCGGAUUUAUUGGGUUUAAAGGGUGCGUAGGCGGCCCGUUAAGUCAGUGGUGAAAUACA